GGAGGCUGUGGCUCAGUAGCAGAGCACAUGCUUUGCAUGCAGAAGGCAUUGGGUUCAAACCCAGGUGUCUCCA